GACGAACGCUGGCGGCGUGCUUAACACAUGCAAGUCGAACGGAAAGGCCCUUCUUUUGUGGUGUGCUCGAGUGGCGAACGGGUGAGUAACACGUGAGUAACCUUCCCUUGACUUUGGGUUAACUUCAGGAAACUGGGUCUAAUACCGGAUAGGUGCUCCUGCUGCAUGGUGGGGGUUUGAAAGUUUCGGCGGUUGGGGAUGGACUUGCGGCUUAUCAGCUUGUUGGUGGGGUAGUGGCUGACCAAGGCUUUGACGGGUAGCCGGCCUGAGAGGGUGACCGGCCACAUUGGGACUGAGAUACGGCCCAGACUCCUACGGGAGGCAGCAGUGGGGAAUAUUGCACAAUGGGCGGAAGCCUGAUGCAGCAACGCCGCGUGCGGGAUGAAGGCCUGCGGGUUGUAAACCGCUUUCGCCUGUGACGAAGCGUGAGUGACGGUAAUGGGUAAAGAAGCACCGGCUAACUACGUG
rnacentral:rRNA from 1 species